rnacentral:rRNA from 1 species
AGACGGAGGGGGCUAGCGUUGUUCGGAAUUACUGGGCGUAAAGCGCGCGUAGGCGGCCGUUCAAGUUGGGCGUGAAAGCCCGGGGCUCAACCCAGGAACUGCGUUUAAUACUGGAAAACUUGAGAUCGGUAGAGGAAAGUGGAAUUCCUAGUGUAGAGGUGAAAUUCGUAGAUAUUAGGAGGAACACCAGAGGCGAAGGCGACUUUCUGGGCCGAAUCUGACGCUGAGGCGCGAAAGCGUGGGGAGCAAACAGGAUUAGAUACCCCGGUAGUCC